CACGAGGAGCGAGGAGAGGGGUGUAGGAGUCAUACCUACGAUGCGUCGGUCUCGAACUCCAUCGUCGGGGCAAGGCCCGUCUAUCGGUGGGGCCCGUUGGGUUCAGCAGGAGCCCAAUUUUUCUUUCGCUUUUUCUUCUGACCCGUGCCCUCGGUCAAGCACCGAUGGAAAGCUCCUUCAUCCACGCGCAUGUAUUUGUACGUGCGCUCCAACAAUUCGGCAUACGUCUGGGGGAGGAUCUUGUCUAAGGAAUAGGUGAACCGAGACCCCCUUAGUCCCCUCUUCAUGGCCG
rnacentral:lncRNA from 1 species